GACGAACGCUGGCGGCGUGCUUAACACAUGCAAGUCGAACGGAAAGGCCCUGCUUUGGUGGGGGGCUCGAGUGGCGAACGGGUGAGUAACACGGGAGUAACCUGCCCUGGACGGUGGGAUAACUUCAGGAAACUGGUGCUAAUACCGGAGAGGAGCGCCGGCUGCAGGGUGGGGGCUGGAAAGUUUCGGCGGGUGGGGGUGGACUCGCGGCUUAUCAGCUUGUUGGGGGGGUAGUGGCUUACCAAGGCUUUGACGGGUAGCCGGCCUGAGAGGGUGACCGGCCACAUUGGGACUGAGAUACGGCCCAGACUCCUACUGGAGGCAGCAGUGGGGAAUAUUGCACAAUGGGCGGAAGCCUGAUGCAGCAACGCCGCGUGCGGGAUGACGGCCUUCGGGUUGUAAACCGCUUUCGCCUGUCACGGAGCGUGAGUGACGGUAAUGGGUAAAGAAGCACCGGCUAACUACGUG
rnacentral:rRNA from 1 species